rnacentral:rRNA from 1 species
UACGUAGGGUGCAAGCGUUGUCCGGAGUUAUUGGGCGUAAAGAGCUUGUAGGCGGUUUGUCGCGUCUGCUGUGAAAUUUCGGGGCUCAACCCCGAACUUGCAGUGGGUACGGGCAGACUAGAGUGUGGUAGGGGAGACUGGAAUUCCUGGUGUAGCGGUGAAAUGCGCAGAUAUCAGGAGGAACACCGAUGGCGAAGGCAGGUCUCUGGGCCACUACUGACGCUGAGAAGCGAAAGCAUGGGGAGCGAACAGG